rnacentral:rRNA from 1 species
GACGAACGCUGGCGGCGUGCUUAACACAUGCAAGUCGAACGAUGAAGCCUAGCUUGCUAGGUGGAUUAGUGGCGAACGGGUGAGUAAUACGUGAGUAACCUACCUUUAACUCUGGGAUAAGCCUGGGAAACUGGGUCUAAUACCGGAUACGACCAAUCUCCGCAUGGGGUGUUGGUGGAAAGCGUUAUGUAGUGGUUAUAGAUGGGCUCACGGCCUAUCAGCUUGUUGGUGAGGUAACGGCUCACCAAGGCGACGACGGGUAGCCGGCCUGAGAGGGUGACCGGCCACACUGGGACUGAGACACGGCCCAGACUCCUACGGGAGGCAGCAGUGGGGAAUAUUGCACAAUGGGCGCAAGCCUGAUGCAGCGACGCCGCGUGAGGGAUGACGGCCUUCGGGUUGUAAACCUCUGUUAGCAGGGAAGAAGAGAGAUUGACGGUACCUGCAGAGAAAGCGCCGGCUAACUACGUGCCAGCAGCCGCGGUAAUACGUAGGGCGCGAGCGUUGUCCGGAAUUAUUGGGCGUAAAGAGCUUGUAGGCGGUUUGUCGCGUCUGCUGUGAAGGCCGGAGCUUAACUCCGUGUAUUGCAGUGGGUACGGGCAGACUAGAGUGCAGUAGGGGAGACUGGAAUUCCUGGUGUAGCGGUGGAAUGCGCAGAUAUCAGGAGGAACACCGAUGGCGAAGGCAGGUCUCUGGGCUGUAACUGACGCUGAGAAGCGAAAGCAUGGGGAGCGAACAGGAUUAGAUACCCUGGUAGUCCAUGCCGUAAACGUUGGGCACUAGGUGUGGGGGACAUUCCACGUUUUCCGCGCCGUAGCUAACGCAUUAAGUGCCCCGCCUGGGGAGUACGGCCGCAAGGCUAAAACUCAAAGAAAUUGACGGGGGCCCGCACAAGCGGCGGAGCAUGCGGAUUAAUUCGAUGCAACGCGAAGAACCUUACCAAGGCUUGACAUAUACUGGACCGCAUCAGAGAUGGUGUUUCCCUUCGGGGCUGGUAUACAGGUGGUGCAUGGUUGUCGUCAGCUCGUGUCGUGUGAUGUUGGGUUAAGUCCCGCAACGAGCGCAACCCUCGUUCUAUGUUGCCAGCACGUUAUGGUGGGGACUCAUAGGAGACUGCCGGGGUCAACUCGGAGGAAGGUGGGGAUGACGUCAAAUCAUCAUGCCCCUUAUGUCUUGGGCUUCACGCAUGCUACAAUGGCCGGUACAGAGGGUUGCGAUACUGUGAGGUGGAGCUAAUCCCUAAAAGCCGGUCUCAGUUCGGAUUGGGGUCUGCAACUCGACCCCAUGAAGUCGGAGUCGCUAGUAAUCGCAGAUCAGCAACGCUGCGGUGAAUACGUUCCCGGGCCC